rnacentral:rRNA from 1 species
UACGGGGGGAGCAAGCGUUGUUCGGAUUUACUGGGCGUAAAGGGCGCGUAGGCGGUCAGCACAAGUCAGUUGUGAAAUCUCCGGGCUUAACUCGGAAAGGUCAACUGAUACUGUGCGACUAGAGUGCGGAAGGGGCAACUGGAAUUCUUGGUGUAGCGGUGAAAUGCGUAGAUAUCAAGAGGAGCACCUGCGGCGAAGGCGGGUUGCUGGGCCGACACUGACGCUGAGGCGCGAAAGCCAGGGGAGCGAACGGG